rnacentral:rRNA from 1 species
UGGCGGCGUGCCUAAUACAUGCAAGUCGAACGGUCUUUCUAUGGAAGCUUGCUCCACUGAGAAGAUAGUGGCGAACGGGUGAGUAACACGUGGGUAACCUGCCCAUAAGAGGGGGAUAACAUCCGGAAACGGGUGCUAAUACCGCAUAGUUUUCUUGAUCGCAUGAUCGGGAAAGGAAAGACGGCCUUUGUGCUGUCGCUUAUGGAUGGACCCGCGGCGUAUUAGUUAGUUGGUGAGGUAACGGCUCACCAAGACGAUGAUACGUAGCCGACCUGAGAGGGUGAUCGGCCACAUUGGGACUGAGACACGGCCCAAACUCCUACGGGAGGCAGCAGUAGGGAAUCUUCCGCAAUGGACGAAAGUCUGACGGAGCAACGCCGCGUGAGUGAAAGAAGGUUUUCGGAUCGUAAAACUCUGUUGUCAGAGAAGAACAAGUUGGAGAGUAACUGCUCCAGCCUUGACGGUAUCUGACCAGAAAGCCACGGCUAACUACGUGCCAGCCGCCGC